AAUUCUGAAAUACUAACAACUUUCCAAUGUUUCUCUCUUCUCUCUUCUAAAGACAAUGCUCCCUUCAUCUUUUUCUCCCCAAUCCCAUUCCUCAUUCCUCAACUCAGCCUUUCACGUUCAUCUUCUUCCAUCGUCAACUUCUAUUUCUUAGACAAAAUAUGCUGAAAAACGUGAAAGUUUCAGCACUCUUCUCUCUUCUAAAGACAAUGCUCCCUUCAUCUUUUUCUCCCCAUUCCUCAUUCUUCAACUCAGCCUUUCACUUUCAUCUUCUUCCAUCGUCAACUUCUAUUUCUUAGACAAAAUACGCUGAAAAACGUGAAAGUUUCAGCAACAAGAUUACUCAUUUGUUGAAUGUUCUUGGCUUUGGUGGGUUUUGUUUCCUCUUAGGAGAAAGUUCGAUUUCAACUCCAAACGAAACUUUCUGAAAAUUCGCAUGAUUUUGAAAUAUUUUUCACAAUUUUAUGCACUUUGGAUGACUAUGAAAAUGCACCAACAAGCUGCGAAGAAGAACACAUUUCUGAGACGGAGAAACUCACUAUAGCUCGAAAUAGAAUAUGUAAGAAGAAGAUGAAGGAAGAAUCCAUCCUCUGUGAAAAGUUAAUUGGCAUGUGGAUGCCUCCAUCCCAGUCAAAAUAGGCUUGGGAUGAUGAUCCUCCAUAUGUUCGAUAAAACAAUUCUUAGAAAGGCUAUCCAACUAUGAACCUGUUGGCUAUUAUUUUUAAUGACUAUUGAGCAUGUCUUAUUCUCUCUGACUGAUUUGAUUUAGGUGAUGAGACUAGCCCCAAGAGAGUGAUGUAUCGGAGGAUGGCGAAAAAGGUUGUCAAAGAUACCCAUGCGUGGACAAUUAUAUUUUCAUGAUGUUUUUUUUUCUUCUCCUUUUUCAUGUUCUUCAUAAGCAAAUAAACAACUGCUCUAUCUAGGCAUGAAUUCACUGAUAUGUGUGUCUUUUUGUGUUCUUCAUGUGAUGGUUAGGUAGCCAUUUAUACGAUGUUAUAGGCUGGUGGACGUACCAAUGAGUAAUUGUAUUGAUAGCGGUCGGUGAUGUAAGAAGGUUCAGGAAAUUUAAACUUCCUGCAUAUUUAACCAAACUUACACAAUUUCAAUUUAACUACUAUUCAUAUCAGCUAUACAUAUGAACAAAUUAUAUCAGCCAUACAAUUGCAAUUUCACCAAAUUUACACAAUUCAUAUCUGCUAUACAUAUAAACAAAUUCAAUAAUAAGAAAGUGUCUGCAAUGUGCUAACUUGCAGGGUGUUGUACAACUUCACUGUUUCUAUAUGAUUAUGUUUGUUUAAACUAUGAUUAUGUAUACUCACAGUAAAUGCAUUUUUGAAAAUGAAAGCUCGAAUACAUAUUAUUUGCCUGUUUGUUUGGUUGGCUUGCAUUUGAGGUUGCUGCAUUGAAGGUAAAUUGUGUGAUGUCCCUUAAACUUGCUUAUCAUCUAUUUGUUUCUAAACCAAUAGAUUUCCAAUAUGGAUAUGACAUUAGCCCUUUAUUACACGUGUUUGAUAACUGUUGCGACAAAUACCACUUGCUUCUUUUGGCAGAUUGUAGGCGGAAAAUUAUCGAUGUUAUUGAAAAUGACUCAUAUGAGCAAAUGGUGAUAAAAAAGAAAGUGAUUAUGAGCAUCAUGUUCUGUCAUUUAGUCUUCAAACUUCUGAUAUUAUGCCCGCCUUUACUUACGUAGCGGCGUUCUCUUCGAUGGUACCUGAAGCUUGUCACAUCGUGAGGUCGUUCAUCAAAGGCUCUAUUGGAGUGUAUUGUGGGGAAGUAUUUGGACAAGCUUCUGAUUGGAGUGUUAAAUGAAGCAUUACAGGACACAAUAAACGGUGGAAAAUUACUGUGUCUCAAGCUAUGCAAAUUACUGCAAAUAUGUCUGUUCUUGACAGAGCUUGUGAUUUUUUCCUUAGGCAUAUGGCUCAAUUAUGUGGGGAAGGUGUCUCGGUUCGUUCAAUGGAUAAGCCUCAAGCUGCAUUAGCUGCAAAGGUAUUACAGAACACUUCAAGGGAUGCAGCUUAUAUUACCCUACUAAGUUUAGUCAACAGAAAAUUGGAUGACUAUAUAAAACUCACAGACAGUGCUCUUUGGACUACGGAAGAGGCGAUGCCGAAUGGAAACGAGUACCUAAAUGAAGUGGUUUUUUACCUUGAUUCACUUUUGUCUACAGCGCAACAAAUUUUACGCUUGGAUGCUAUGUACAAAGUCGGAACUGGUACACUUUUCAAGUAUGUGAAAGUAUGAUGAAACUAUAAGUGAAUUUAUUAUUCUUUAGGAUCUUAGAUUUGUUGUUAUUCAAUAUUUUUUGAACUCUU